rnacentral:lncRNA from 1 species
CAGGCUGGAGAGCUCACUUCUCAGAGGGGUUGGCAUGGAAGGGUGCCACGUGGGGAGAACCAAUGGAGAAGCAUGGUGGCCAUGAAAUAUGGCUUCCGGUCUUAACCACAAACUCCUUAGAAGCCACGAAGUGGAAAAAACUACAGUGUGUUUAGUAGGACUGGGGAUGUGGUGGCAAUAAAGAGGACUGCAUGGACAAGAGGCAUGGACUGACCCAUCAGCUCACGAAGUCCAGAAGAUGUGUAUUUCAAUCCAUUUCACUGUAAAUACUGGGGGCCAAAG